AGUAAACCAGAUGCAAUUUGAGACUUGUGGAAUUUAUUUCUCAGCCAAGCAAGAAGCUGCAUUAAUAGACUUUUACUUUUACUUUUGUUGAAAUGAGAAAGCUGAAGAUUUUCCAGCAUAUUCCAACCAGAUGGCAUGCUCUAUUUCCUACAAUUUUCUCCCUGCUGUGGAUUGCCUCCAACUCAACCUCUUCAAAGGGCACUUGUGGAGGUGAGCAAGUCAACAUCUAGAUAAAAACCUGAGUGAAGUGACAGAGUCAUGACAAUCACAAGCACUCUGUUAUAACUUACUCACAAUUUAGAUGCAGUUCCGACUGCUUUUCAAGAUGUCUUCAUCCCUCCUCUCAUUCAGCAUGACUGUGUGCCAUCCGCCAACUGAGUAUACCUUACUCUAAUUCAUGUUCAUCUACGGGCUUCCCCGAGAUCAUAGACUUGAUUCCUUUGACAGAAACUCUGUCUUACCCAUCUUUAGAACAACAG
rnacentral:lncRNA from 1 species